rnacentral:tRNA from 1 species
GGGGGUAUAGCUCAGUGGUAGAGCAAUCGACUGCAGAUCGAUAGGUCUCUGGUUCAAGUCCGGGUGCCCCCU